rnacentral:rRNA from 1 species
AGCGAACGCUGGCGGCAGGCUUAACACAUGCAAGUCGAGCGGGCACUUUCGGGUGUCAGCGGCGGACGGGUGAGUAACGCGUGGGAACGUGCCCUCUGGUUCGGAAUAACUCAGGGAAACUUGAGCUAAUACCGGAUACGCCCUUUUGGGGAAAGGCUUGCUGCCGGAGGAUCGGCCCGCGUCUGAUUAGCUAGUUGGUGAGGUAACGGCUCACCAAGGCGACGAUCAGCAGCUGGUCUGAGAGGAUGAUCAGCCACACUGGGACUGAGACACGGCCCAGACUCCUACGGGAGGCAGCAGUGGGGAAUAUUGGACAAUGGGCGCAAGCCUGAUCCAGCCAUGCCGCGUGAGUGAUGAAGGCCUUAGGGUUGUAAAUCUCUUUUAUCCGGGACGAUAAUGACGGUACCGGAGGAAUAAGCCCCGGCUAACUUCGUG